GAUGAACGCUAGCUACAGGCUUAACACAUGCAAGUCGAGGGGCAGCAUGAAGUUUGCUUGCAAACUUUGAUGGCGACCGGCGGAUGGGUGAGUAACGCGUAUCCAACCUGCCCCCUUCCCGGGCACAGCCCUUGGAAACGAGGAUUAACUCCCGAUGGCGUCGCCUUAACGCAUGUUUCGGCGACCAAAUGUUUAAGGAAGGGGAUGGGGAUGCGUCCCAUUAGCUUGUUGGCGGGGUAACGGCCCACCAAGGCUCCGAGGGGUAGGGGUUCUGAGAGGAGGGUCCCCCACACUGGAACUGAGACACGGUCCAGACUCCUACGGGAGGCAGCAGUGAGGAAUAUUGGUCAAUGGAGGCAACUCUGAACCAGCCAAGUAGCGUGAGGGACGACUGCCCUACGGGUUGUAAACCUCUUUUGUCGGGGAAUAAACCGCGCCACGUGUGGCGCUCUGCAUGUACCCGCAGAAUAAGGACCGGCUAAUUCCGUGCCAGCCGCCGCGGUAAUAC
rnacentral:rRNA from 1 species